GGGCGAUUGGUUUAGUGGUAUAAUUUUCCCUUAGCACUUCGGUCGCCUUUCAGGCAAUCGAGCAGCCUGGGAAAGGUCCUGGGUUCGAUUCCCAGAUCGUCCA